rnacentral:rRNA from 1 species
UAAAGUUGUUGAAGUUAAAAAGCUCGUAGUUGAAUUUUAGGCCUGGCCGGAUGGUCCGUGUUUGGCGAGUACUGUUCUGUCGUCGGGUCUAUCCUUCUGGUGAUCCGGGAUGCCCUUUAUUGGGUGUGUCGGGGAACCAGGACCAUUACCUUGAAAAAAUUAGAGUGUUUAAAGCGGGCAUUUGCUUGAAUAGAUUAGCAUGGAAUAAUAGAAUAGGACGUUGGUUCUAUUUUGUUGGUUUUAGGACCACCGUAAUGAUUAAUAGGG